CCUACGGGUGGCAGCAGUGGGGAAUAUUGGGCAAUGGGCGCAAGCCUGACCCAGCGACGCCGCGUGAGGGAAGACGGUCUUCGGAUUGUAAACCUCUUUCAGCAGGGAAGACAAAAGGACGGUACCUGCAGAAGAAGCCACGGCGAACUACGUGCCAGCAGCCGGGGUUAUACGGAGGGGGCAAGCGUUAUCCGGAAUUACUGGGUGUAAAGGGUGUGUAGGCGGGUUUGCAAGUCAGAUGUGAAAAUUAUGGGCUCAACCAAUAACCUGCUUCUGAAACUACAGAUCUUGAGAGUGGGAGAGGUAAACGGAAUUCCCGGUGUAGGGGUAAAAUGCGUAGAGAUCGGGAGGAAUACUAGUGGCGAAGGCGAUUUACUGGACCACAACUGACGCUGAGACACGAAAGCGUGGGGAGCAAACAGGAUUAGAUACCCGAGUAGUC
rnacentral:rRNA from 1 species